GUAGUACCGGCGUGUACUGCGCCCAUAUAUAAACCCCACAGGCGUAGACAACUCGAACAAUGUCUGAGGGAUUACGGGUUCGGCAUGGCGCAAGCCUUCGUCGGACCCCUCCAUCCCGGGGUGUCCCGCUACGGGCUGUGUUCGCGUCUCACGAUGCGUUCGCUGUCCCGUGUGGGCAUCCCUCGAGUGCGUAGGAUGCGACCCGAAAGAUGGUGAACUAUGCCUGAUCAGGCCGAAGUCAGGGGAAACCCUGAUGGAGGGCCGAAGCAAUUCUGACGUGCAAAUCGAUUGUCAGAGUUGGGCAUAGGGGCGAAAGACCAAUC
rnacentral:rRNA from 1 species